UACGUAGGGUGCAAGCGUUGUCCGGAAUUAUUGGGCGUAAAGAGCUCGUAGGCGGUUUGUCACGUCGGAUGUGAAACCCUGAGGCUCAACCCCGGGCCUGCAUUCGAUACGGGCAGACUAGAGUUCGGUAGGGGAGUCUGGAAUUCCUGGUGUAGCGGUGAAAUGCGCAGAUAUCAGGAGGAACACCGGUGGCGAAGGCGGUUCUCUGGGAAUUACCUGACGCUGAGGAGCGAAAGUGUGGGGAGCGAACAGG
rnacentral:rRNA from 1 species